AAUGAAUGAUGACAAAAUGUUUCGGUCCCAGAUGAUGUGGAAUGAUUCCAUUUCCCCAAUUUCUGACAUU
ensembl:snoRNA SNORD73 Small nucleolar RNA SNORD73